GGAGCGGUAUUUAAGAGGAGCCUCUGCCCGCCCUUCCACCCGCCUCACGAUCUUCGGAUUUGCGCUGUGCUGGACCUUGUUAGACGAUGGAACGCGACCGGCCACGUGCAAACUCUCUGAGCAGGUCCUGGGGAUGGUGCCAGAGGAGCCGGAGUCCCAGCAGGACCGAUAGUGCAUUCUCAGAGUCCUUAGAAGAUAGUUUAUUGGACAAAAUAUUCAAGUAUGAAUAGACAGAUGAG
rnacentral:lncRNA from 1 species